rnacentral:rRNA from 1 species
GUGAACGCACCACUGGUGUUCGGGUUGUCAUGCCAAUGGCAUUGCCCGGUAGCUAAGUGCGGAAAAGAUAAGCGCUGAAAGCAUCUAAGCGCGAAACUUGCCUCAAGAUGAGUCUUCCCUGGGCCUUUAAGGUCCCUGAAGGAACGUUUAAGACUAAGACGUUGAUAGGCUGGGUGUGUAAGUGCAGCGAUGCAUUGAGCUAACCAGUACUAAUGAUCCGUGAGGCUUAACCUU